rnacentral:misc_RNA from 1 species
CAAUUUUAAGAUAUUUCUGUUUAUGUUUUAUAUGCAAAAAAAAUGUUUUUAGAAGUAUGAAAUAUUGCACUAAAAUGUUACUGCAGUUUUCUCCAAUUUUCUGAGACACUAUGUAGAAUAACUCUUUUUAAGUGAGUACCUAAAAAUAUUCAUGAACGCGAAAAAAUCUUUUCAUCUGUUGUGAGUUGAUCAAGAUUGUGGCAAAUUUCCCCCUGAAAGAAAAAGAAGGGGAAAGAAAUAUUGUGGCAAGCACCUCAGAAUAAGUACUAUCUCAAAGCUAGCCACUAGGAGAAAAUCUAAGGCUUUAUCCAUCUACACCAAUCUCAUACAAGUGCAGGACAUUCAGCCCACAAUUUUCCACUAUGCUUCUGUAGCCGACAUUCACAUAUGCUUUUUCUUUAUCAGCUCUAGCUUAAAAUAUGCUUCUUUCAUGAACUCAUUAGUAACUUUGGUCUAGCAUAUGGCCUGACAACAUGUUCUCCAGCCCUUCUACGAGCCUACUAAGUACUUAAUAAGGCCUAUAAAUAGCCCUUUCUAAGUGUCAAGCUGCAGGCUUGGAGUUGGAACUUAAUAAGUGCCUUGCAAGAAUUCGCCCAUAAAAGUUCGCUGUCAGAGGAAGAAAGUCCAAAACUUUAUUUGUUUUCAAAUGACCAAUUCAAGACAUUGGAGCCACAAAUUGAAACAUCAGUGUUAACUUACUAGGGUGCAGUUGUCAACACACAGUAGCAAUUUGUGAUGCAAUGUUUAGGAAAUUGUUGAGAAAAGUGUUCCAUGUACAAAUCUCCAAAUGUGUUUCAAAACUUGAAAUAUUACUUUUACAUGAUGUGAAUUGAGUUCUCUAACAUUAAUGUAUUUUUCCAUUAUGACUCAAAAUGUUCUGUUAAAUUUCAAGUAUUGCUAGUGGCAUGCUAUGAUGGAGUCUUCUUGAAUCUAUUUUGGGGCAGAACUGCAUACUG